rnacentral:piRNA from 1 species
UUGUGUUGUGGCUGCUAAAUCUCUUUUAUCU